GGGUGGCAAGUACGGCUAAUGGAAGCGAGGGCCUUAUGCUUGUUGUUCAGUGGUGCGAAAUGUCUUGCAACUGAGAUUUGAUCUCACAACAGAAUAGAAGCUAAUGGUCCUGAUUCUCCUCUCACACCUUUUGGCUGGUGUAAAUCCAUUUGGUCUCCAAUAGGCUGUGAUCGGUGCAGGUAUGCUGACUGCAAACACAGACGCACGUGGUCCCAGUGCACCUUGAUAUUGAGCCUUUUUAUGUAAACUUGAUUGGCACAUUUUAAAUGUGUUUUAGGCUGUCUGUUGCCGCCCAGGCCGCAUUGAACGUACCAUGCACCAAGGUCAUUUCUGCAGCAUAUUCCUAAGCUGCACUAAUACGAGACAGUAAGCUUAACUUGCCUGCCAGCAAGACAAAGCUGAGCAGGGAGUUGCUUAGACUUCCUUUCUUCUCCCUUAUUUCUGCUGCCACCACUGCGGAGAAACAACCUGCAUGUAGCCCUGCUUCUUAGCCUCAACAGGAAGCUCAAGAACAACCAUGUUUAGAAUGGGCACUAUCCAUGUGACCUAAAUCCACAGCUGUGACAUCUCCGUGAUGUCCAUGCGACAUCUUUGGCUGCAUUUUGAUACGCAUGGAGUGAGUCUCUUUGGGGCUCUGUGUGUAGAAUCUGACAGUUAGACUGUGUUCCCAAAAAGAGAGAUCCCUCCCUGAGGACUUGCAUGUGUCAGAGAGCAGACCUGAGAAAUUGUCUUUUUUCUGGAGUGUUUGGAUGAUAAUAGGGAUCUGGAAGGAGGUGGAAUCGUAAGUGGGUUCCCUAGAACUGUAACUGGACCAACAUGUUCAGCCUGUAGUCUGGGAACUAUCUGGAUCACAGUGCCACGGCUGAUUCUUUUUUGCCUGUUACAGUGCAAUGGAAUGCGUUUAGGACUUCAUGUUUCCAGCCCACGGGAGGAGAAAAGCUCUUAGGCCAGUCCUCUGACAUCAAAUUCCAAGCAAAAAAAGUCACCUUAAACGAGAGCGUGGAAGCACUCAGCAAUCAGGAAAUGGAGAGUGACAGGCUAAUCAACCUCCAGUCCGCAUCUACUGUCUUAAUUCCUCAACUAAGACAAAUUCAGGACCCAAAACUUACCAGAAGUCGAAGCGAGAGGCAGAGUCCAAGUUCCGAAGCCCGAGGUCAAAGCAGGAGGCAGAAUCCAAGCCUAAAAGCCAGGGUUCAAGGGGGAAAGCCAGAGGUCUGAGUCAGGGUUGAAGUCCAGGAGUGAGUCAAGGGGCAGGUUAGUCGCUACAGCUGGCUAGGGAGUCUAUGCAGCUAGGUGAACACGUCCUGAAACUUCUCUUGGGCUUAAACAGGGCACCUAGGCCAAUCAGGGACCACAAGGGAAGUGAUCAGUCUGGCAUUCCGUAUUGAUACUUCCUGUGGUGUUUAUCUCCACAGGGUCAAUGUGAUAAUGCAUAUGGCUCUAUCAUGGCUGUCCGGUAACUCUGUAGAGAGGCUGUCUGCCCCUCAGGCCCAGGAUCUAGUCCCUACAGAACCUUACACUGAUAUUCCAGCCUCAACCCCCUGGAGAAACCGUGCACCAGAGGAAUUCUCAGCUGGGGAGAGGAGAAGGGGCCUGACCCAGAAUCAGAGCCAACACUUUCAUCAGUUCACUGAGACCAAGAACAUUCCUUGUGCAAUAAAGCGUAGUUAUUCCCAGCAGCAAGUAGGGGCAGCAUAAAUGCCAGCGUAUCUGAUGGCAGAAUCCAUCAUAACCAGGAUAUAUUUCUUCCCAUUUCUGGAAGGUCUGGGUAGAGGUCCCACAAUAUCUACAGAAACUCUGGCAAACACUUCCUUGGUGAUGGGCAAAGUCUGAAAAGGUGACUUGCAGGGUCCUUUUAACCCCUUAUGCUUUGACAUAAAACAUAGCACUUGCUUAGUUCCUUUGGUUUGGGAAUUUAUCCCCCUCCUUCCAUGUGCUCUGAGCUGCAACCUCAUCUGAUGGGGGGAGUUCACUUGCAUGACUCAUCUUCACGGGAGGAAAGCAAAACAAUAAAAGUCUUUAGUCCUUUUGUUGAUGGGUUUUCAAUCCAGAUGUAGGGAGUUUCCAGUUGUAAGAUCCAACCCUAACCCAUCUGGUAUUGAAGGGUCUCCUCUGUGGGAAGGGGCAUAACAAUUUCUAUAGAAGAGCCACUCUUCACACUAAUGCCCCUCUCCUGUAUGGAGAUUUAUACAGUCACAGAUAUUACAAGUAAGAUUAAUGCAUUGUUGUGGUAUCAUUAAAAGUAACUAUAUACCAAGGCCUAAAACACCCAGAGCGCCUAAAAUUUUGUAACAGGAAAAGCAUUGAUAAGAUUUGGCUGUACAAAUUUUUUUGGACUUUGUGUAAAAUAAAAAAAUCCCCUGACAACUUUGUGUUUGCAGAAAAUAAGAAAUGUUAACAUUGAAGAAUCAGAAGAUGCUCUCUAAAAUUCCCUUCCUAAUAGACUAAGGGGGACGGUAAUAUACACAAACUGAUCUAUAACAUUGAAACGAAGGAUUGUUAACGAUCAGAGUUAAAAGCUUCAUUAGCUAUAUUUGUAAUGAAUUGAGUAAGGUAACAGGCAGGCCCAGGUUUUGCCUGGCAUCAGUGUAUUUUUGUUAUUUUCUUUUUAAUAUAACUGACUGAUUUGUUUAAAAUGCUGUUGUUAGCAGGAUAACUAAUGUGUCAUGUUAGAAGAUGUAAGAAAUAGAUACAAACAUGUAAUGAUCAACAAAAUCUUCCUUUUUCUGGGAAAUUUAAAAACUGGAUGACCCAGGGCAAAAGGACCCAGAAAUUAUAAAUUCAGCAGGAAAAGUGUGGGCAUUCAGUGAUUAAUGUUUGUGCAUGUGUAAUAUACAGGUUAUGUAAAAUUCAAUGGAUAAUGUGUUCAAUGCUGAUGGGAGGAAAAUUAGGUAGUGGAAAAUGUAAAAAUGUAUAAGUAUAUGUAAAAUGGCCCCCCAAAAACUGGAGAAACCCUGGGUCAAAAACUGAAGAACAAGACUAAAAGACCAGAGCAGGAGCUCAGAGGAGGUGACAAAUGUCAUGGAGGAAGGAUGGACUUCUUGGUGCACUGGAGCCCAUUUAUCUAUUCUGUCUUGUCUGUUAUUACGUGUCUGGUAUGAAUGUAUGUGCCAGACACUACAAGUGGUGAUAAUUCU